rnacentral:rRNA from 1 species
GGCUCAGGAUGAACGCUAGCGACAGGCCUAACACAUGCAAGUCGAGGGGCAGCACAAGGAGCAAUCUGAGGUGGCGACCGGCGCACGGGUGAGUAACACGUAUGCAACCUGCCUGUAAGCGGGGAAUAACCCGUUGAAAGACGGACUAAUACCGCAUAAUACUAAAUUACUGCAUGGUAAUUUAUUUAAACAUUUAUGGCUUACAGGUGGGCAUGCGCAUGAUUAGCUAGUUGGAGAGGUAACGGCUCCCCAAGGCAACGAUCAUUAGGGGUUCUGAGAGGAAGGUCCCCCCACACUGGUACUGAGACACGGACCAGACUCCUACGGGAGGCAGCAGUGAGGAAUAUUGGUCAAUGGACGAGAGUCUGAACCAGCCAAGUCGCGUGCAGGAAGAAUUGUCCUAUGGAUUGUAAACUGCCUUUGCAGGGGAAUAAAGUGCAUCACGUGUGAUGUUUUGUAUGUACUCUGCGAAUAAGGAUCGGCUAACUCCGUGCCAGCCGCCGC